rnacentral:rRNA from 1 species
UACGGAGGGUGCUAGCGUUGUUCGGAAUCACUGGGCGUAAAGCGCGUGUAGGCGGCCCACUAAGUCUGAUGUGAAAGCCCGGGGCUCACCCCCGGAAGUGCAUUGGAAACUGGUGGACUCGAGUCCCGGAGAGGAGGGUGGAAUUCCUGGUGUAGCGGUGAAAUGCGUAGAUAUCAGGAGGAACACCGGUGGCGAAGGCGGCCCUCUGGACGGUGACUGACGCUGAGACGUGAAAGCGUGGGGAGCAAACAGG